rnacentral:tRNA from 1 species
GGGGGUGGUACGCGGCCGGUGUCGCGCGCGGUCUUCAAAACCGUCUGAGGGGUUGUGCAGAACAGGCCCUGGUGGGUUCGACUCCCAUCCACUCCCG